GUUUCUAAAAUGCGUUUGCUAGGGAGAGGCUUCCACACCCUUAUAAAGGUUGUUUCGUUCUCCUCCCCAACCGAUGUAGGAUCUCACUGUGGAGCUUGGAGCUUGUAAUGGCUUUUGAACAAGAUUUCUCCAUUGAAAUACCAGAUGAAAAUGCCUAUAAGCUUACUUGCUGUGCCGAUGUACAGGAGGACUCGAUUCAGUCGACACUUCUGCCAUAUAUGCUUGUAGGGGUUGAGAUGUUUGGUGCUGCAACCUGAGGAUACCAGAAGUAUACAUGCGGAUGCCUCCUCCAAACGACGAUAAUUGCAGCUGUUUGCGACCUGCAAAAUGAGCAGGUCGACAGCGUAUGUUCUUUGGUGUGCGAAGAAUCUUGAUGGAACAGACCUUUUCAAAGCUCUGUGUUGCAUGAAACCGGGAUGGAAUAUCAAUAAUGAAGUCUCCAAAUUCAUCUGUGAUUCCACGUACCCAAUCAGAAGAUUUGCUGUUUUUUCUAGAGUUGUGGCACCUCACACCCACCAUGGCACCUGCAGUGAUUGAUAUUCAUCAGAAAGGCCAUGCAUGAACUCGAGGUUCAUCACCAUGCAAACAAGCUUCACAAAGAAGAGAGCCUGUGACCAAAACUGUGGACAGUCUCUCCUCGCCAUAUCCUGCUGUCUGCCUCCAUUCGUCUCGACUCAACAGAUCGGAUAACGGGGUCUCACGUUCCACAGAUUCGACUACCGUCGGAAAUCCAUAGGCAAAAAGGAGGAAGAAGAAGAAGAAGAAGAAACAAUGGUAGAAGCUGCAAACUCUGGUCAGCAUCUUCUUUCUUUAGGCUUUAGGAAACUAAUAUGAUCACACAAAUCAAUCUGACACCAUAUUAGAUGCAUAUUCCUUGGGUUAUAUAAUCUUUUUAGAACGAGACAUCUUCCAUUUUCUCGACACGUUGAAGUUACCGAAAUACCCUUUCUGGGUUUGACAUUGGUUACUUUAUGUGUUGGAUUUUGACCAUCUUCCCCUCUUAGGGGUAGGCUUUUACCAGAUGAAAAAGAUGGGUUCUAUUUUAUGUGAAUUUGACCAGAAGGCUGCUCCAUUAAGAUAGUAUUUGAUUCAUA